rnacentral:rRNA from 1 species
AUUGAACGCUGGCGGAAUGCUUUACACAUGCAAGUCGAGCGGCAGCACGGGGGCAACCCUGGUGGCGAGCGGCGAACGGGUGAGUAACACAUCGGAACAUGCCCAGUCGUGGGGGAUAACACUUCGAAAGAAGUGCUAAUACCGCAUACGUCCUGAGGGAGAAAGCGGGGGAUCGCAAGACCUCGCGCGAUUGGAGUGGCCGAUGUCAGAUUAGCUAGUUGGUGGGGUAAAGGCCUACCAAGGCAACGAUCUGUAGCUGGUCUGAGAGGAUGAUCAGCCACACUGGGACUGAGACACGGCCCAGACUCCUACGGGAGGCAGCAGUGGGGAAUUUUGGACAAUGGGGGCAACCCUGAUCCAGCCAUUCCGCGUGAGUGAAGAAGGCCUUCGGGUUGUAAAGCUCUUUCGGCAGGAACGAAACGGUGUGCUCUAACAUAGCUUGCUAAUGACGGUACCUGAAGAAGAAGCACCGGCUAACUACGUG